rnacentral:ribozyme from 13 species
AAAACACAUAUACACUAAAACAACAAAUUCGAGCUCUAGAUCCUACCUAUUUCCACUUUUGUCUUUUUUGUUUUUUUCAUCUCUGUCCCUUUCUCUGUCUCUCUCUCCUUCUUUGCUCUUAUUUGUCGCAACUCAAAAGUCGAUGUGAUCCAUCAUAUGCCAGCAGGAAGGGAAGGUGCUGGAAGUCAAAUACACUGCGAGGUAUGAGAGCUAUAUCUAUCAUAAUAUUCUUUUUUAUUGUUUUUAUCAUUUUU